rnacentral:rRNA from 1 species
GACGAACGCUGGCGGCGUGCUUAACACAUGCAAGUCGAACGGAAAGGCCCUGCUUUUGUGGGGUGCUCGAGUGGCGAACGGGUGAGUAACACGUGAGUAACCUGCCCUUGACUUUGGGAUAACUUCAGGAAACUGGGGCUAAUACCGGAUAGGAGCUCCUGCUGCAUGGUGGGGGUUGGAAAGUUUCGGCGGUUGGGGAUGGACUCGCGGCUUAUCAGCUUGUUGGUGGGGUAGUGGCUUACCAAGGCUUUGACGGGUAGCCGGCCUGAGAGGGUGACCAGCCACAUUGGGACUGAGAUACGGCCCAGACUCCUACGGGAGGCAGCAGUGGGGAAUAUUGCACAAUGGGCGGAAGCCUGAUGCAGCAACGCCGCGUGCGGGAUGACGGCCUUCGGGUUGUAAACCGCUUUCGCCUGUGACGAGGCGUGAGUGACGGUAAUGGGUAAAGAAGCACCGGCUAACUACGUG